rnacentral:lncRNA from 1 species
GGGACGUUUUGAAAGUAAGUUUCCUCAUUUGUUUUUAAAGAGAACAUGGUACACCAGGUGAAACAAACAAUCACCAUAAGAAUCCAUGCCCAAUGCUGGUUCAACGACGGAAGGAGCAUCAGCAAAGGAGGGAUGACGCAUGUGCAGAGCGCCGAAGAAGAGAAAGUAGCAGCAGACCAGCGUGCCCAAGGUUAUUCGAGUACAAAUCGCGAUGGCAGACAGACAUAUGCCGUACAUGGUCGCCG